rnacentral:lncRNA from 1 species
UAGAAGUUACGUUUACUACUAGACGUGGAUUAUAGACCGGUCAUCUAAAUACAUUAAGAAUCUGAGUGAAUUCUCUGCACUCUUUCAUCUAGCAUUUCCUUAUAGCAUUCACAUUAUUUUAGUGGUCAGACGCAAAUGGGGAUCACUUUAGUUUCUAAUUAUGUUCAUUAAUGAACUGUACAUGUAGAUUAUAUUAUGUUAUACAACUCUAAGAUAUGUGUAUCUAUAUAUCUUAAAG